UGUUCGGCAAGAGCUAUUGCUACAGAUACAGAAUCAAUAUUAGAAAGCGGAAUGGCGUCUGAGUAUUUUGUAAGGUUGUCCUGGAGGGUAAGCAAGUAGCGGUUUUGUUUUUUUGUCAAAGAGAGCAUUUUAUACCUUUGGCAACUGGAGCAAGUACGUGUAAAAUUAGCAAUUUCCUUAAUCAUGUUUGGCCAAAAGAAAUCUGCUCUAAUUCUUUCAUAAAGUUUAUGGGCACCCUGGUGACCACCUACGGUUGACUCAUGGUAUUCUUUUAUGAUGAGAGGCCUAUUUGUUAGAGAUGAGAUGCUGAUACCUUUUACCUCCAAAGAAUCUAUGAGGUGUUUAAGGGAGCUUAAAGAAGAUUCAAGGUGAACAGGAUCUACUUGCUCUACCGAAGAUGCUUUUACAAAAAG